rnacentral:rRNA from 1 species
CGUAGGGUGCAAGCGUUAAUCGGAAUUACUGGGCGUAAAGCGUGCGCAGGCGGUUUGGUAAGACAGAUGUGAAAUCCCCGGGCUCAACCUGGGAAUUGCAUUUGUGACUGCCCGGCUAGAGUGUGUCAGAGGGGGGUAGAAUUCCACGUGUAGCAGUGAAAUGCGUAGAUAUGUGGAGGAAUACCGAUGGCGAAGGCAGCCCCCUGGGAUAACACUGACGCUCAUGCACGAAAGCGUGGGGAGCAAACAGGAUUAGAUACCCUGGUAGUCCACGCCCUAAACGAUGUCUACUAGUUGUCGGGUCUUAAUUGACUUGGUAACGCAGCUAACGCGUGGAGUAGACCGCCUGGGGAGUACGGUCGCAAGAUUA